rnacentral:rRNA from 1 species
GGUGUUUACUGUCGAACUGAACACUCUACCGUUUACUGUCUGGUGGUGCUCUUCACCGAGUGUCACCAGUGGUCGGUACGUUUACUUUGAAAAAAUUAGAGUGCUCAAAGCGGUUUUUACACGACCGAAUACUGUUGCAUGGAAUAAUGAAAUAGGACUUUGGUUCUAUUUUGUUGGUCUUCGGAACCAAGGUAAUGAUUAAGAGGGACAGACGGGGGCAUUAGUAUUGCGACGCUAGAGGUGAAAUUCUUGGACCGUCGCAAGACUAACUAAAGCGAAAGCAUUUGCCAAGAAUGUUUUCAUUAAUCAAGAACGAAAGUUAGAGGUUCGAAGGCGAUCAGAUACCGCCCUAGUUCUAACCAUAAACGAUGCCAACCAGCAAUCAGCCUGUGUUCUCUUGAUGACACGGCUGGCGGCUUCCGGGAAACCAAAGUCUUUCGGUUCCAGGGGAAGUAUGGUUGCAAAGCUGAAACUUAAAGGAAUUGACGGAAGGGCACCACCAGGAGUGGAGCCUGCGGCUUAAUUUGACUCAACACGGGGAAACUCACCCGGCCCGGACACUGUGGGGAUUGACAGGUUGAAGCCCUUUCUUGAUUCAGUGGGUGGUGGUGCAUGGCCGUUCUUAGUUGGUGGAGUGAUUUGUCUGGUUAAUUCCGAUAACGAACGAGACUCUAGCCUACUAAUUAGACCGUGGCGUCCUCGUGCCGCCACGGCGCUUCCUAGAGGGACAGACGG